GAUGAACGCUGGCGGCGUGCCUAAUACAUGCAAGUCGAGCGAACAGACGAGGAGCUUGCUCCUCUGACGUUAGCGGCGGACGGGUGAGUAACACGUGGAUAACCUACCUAUAAGACUGGGAUAACUUCGGGAAACCGGAGCUAUACCGGAUAAUAUAUUGAACCGCAUGGUUCCAUAAUGAAAGACGGUUUUGCUGUCACUUAUAGAUGGAUCCGCGCCGCAUUAGCUAGUUGGUAAGGUAACGGCUUACCAAGGCAACGAUGCGUAGCCGACCUGAGAGGGUGAUCGGCCACACUGGAACUGAGACACGGUCCAGACUCCUACGGGAGGCAGCAGUAGGGAAUCUUCCGCAAUGGGCGAAAGCCUGACGGAGCAACGCCGCGUGAGUGAUGAAGGUCUUCGGAUCGUAAAACUCUGUUAUUAGGGAAGAACAAAUGUGUAAGUAACUAUGCACGUCUUGACGGUACCUAAUCAGAAAGCCACGGCUAACUACGUG
rnacentral:rRNA from 1 species